rnacentral:rRNA from 1 species
AGAGUUUGAUCAUGGCUCAGAUUGAACGCUGGCGGCAGGCCUAACACAUGCAAGUCGAGCGGUAGCACAGAGAGCUUGCUCUCGGGUGACGAGCGGCGGACGGGUGAGUAAUGUCUGGGAAACUGCCUGAUGGAGGGGGAUAACUACUGGAAACGGUAGCUAAUACCGCAUAAUGUCGCAAGACCAAAGUGGGGGACCUUCGGGCCUCAUGCCAUCAGAUGUGCCCAGAUGGGAUUAGCUAGUAGGUGGGGUAACGGCUCACCUAGGCGACGAUCCCUAGCUGGUCUGAGAGGAUGACCAGCCACACUGGAACUGAGACACGGUCCAGACUCCUACGGGAGGCAGCAGUGGGGAAUAUUGCACAAUGGGCGCAAGCCUGAUGCAGCCAUGCCGCGUGUGUGAAGAAGGCCUUCGGGUUGUAAAGCACUUUCAGCGGGGAGGAAGGCGUUAAGGUUAAUAACCUCAUCGAUUGACGUUACCCGCAGAAGAAGCACCGGCUAACUCCGUGCCAGCAGCCGCGGUAAUACGGAGGGUGCAAGCGUUAAUCGGAAUUACUGGGCGUAAAGCGCACGCAGGCGGUCUGUCAAGUCGGAUGUGAAAUCCCCGGGCUCAACCUGGGAACUGCAUUCGAAACUGGCAGGCUAGAGUCUUGUAGAGGGGGGUAGAAUUCCAGGUGUAGCGGUGAAAUGCGUAGAGAUCUGGAGGAAUACCGGUGGCGAAGGCGGCCCCCUGGACAAAGACUGACGCUCAGGUGCGAAAGCGUGGGGAGCAAACAGGAUUAGAUACCCUGGUAGUCCACGCCGUAAACGAUGUCGAUUUGGAGGUUGUGCCCUUGAGGCGUGGCUUCCGGAGCUAACGCGUUAAAUCGACCGCCUGGGGAGUACGGCCGCAAGGUUAAAACUCAAAUGAAUUGACGGGGGCCCGCACAAGCGGUGGAGCAUGUGGUUUAAUUCGAUGCAACGCGAAGAACCUUACCUGGUCUUGACAUCCACAGAACUUAGCAGAGAUGCUUUGGUGCCUUCGGGAACUGUGAGACAGGUGCUGCAUGGCUGUCGUCAGCUCGUGUUGUGAAAUGUUGGGUUAAGUCCCGCAACGAGCGCAACCCUUAUCCUUUGUUGCCAGCGGUCCGGCCGGGAACUCAAAGGAGACUGCCAGUGAUAAACUGGAGGAAGGUGGGGAUGACGUCAAGUCAUCAUGGCCCUUACGACCAGGGCUACACACGUGCUACAAUGGCAUAUACAAAGAGAAGCGACCUCGCGAGAGCAAGCGGACCUCAUAAAGUAUGUCGUAGUCCGGAUUGGAGUCUGCAACUCGACUCCAUGAAGUCGGAAUCGCUAGUAAUCGUAGAUCAGAAUGCUACGGUGAAUACGUUCCCGGGCCUUGUACACACCGCCCGUCACACCAUGGGAGUGGGUUGCAAAAGAAGUAGGUAGCUUAACCUUCGGGAGGGCGCUUACCACUUUGUGAUUCAUGACUGGGGUGAAGUCGUAACAAGGUAACCGUAGGGGAACCUGCGGUUGGAUCACCU